GAUGAACGCUGGCGGCGUGCCUAAUACAUGCAAGUCGAGCGAGCAGACGAGGAGCUUGCUCCUCUGACGUUAGCGGCGGACGGGUGAGUAACACGUGGAUAACCUACCUAUAAGACUGGGAUAACUUCGGGAAACCGGAGCUAAUACCGGAUAAUAUAUUGAACCGCAUGGUUCAAUAGUGAAAGACGGUUUUGCUGUCACUUAUAGAUGGAUCCGCGCCGCAUUAGCUAGUUGGUAAGGUAACAGCUUACCAAGGCAACGAUGCGUAGCCGACCUGAGAGGGUGAUCGGCCACACUGGAACUGAGACACGGUCCAGACUCCUACGGGAGGCAGCAGUAGGGAAUCUUCCGCAAUGGGCGAAAGCCUGACGGAGCAACGCCGCGUGAGUGAUGAAGGUCUUCGGAUCGUAAAACUCUGUUAUUAGGGAAGAACAAAUGUGUAAGUAACUAUGCACGUCUUGACGGUACCUAAUCAGAAAGCCACGGCUAACUACGUG
rnacentral:rRNA from 1 species